rnacentral:lncRNA from 1 species
ACUGUUACCAGGGUCCUCCUUUGCACUGAGAAUUGGCACCAGAGAAAGACAUAAGAUACAGGUAAGGGUAAUUGAGGGGACCCUCUGUGAAGACUGGGUGGUGGUGCAUUGCUGCUGGCCUUUCUCCAUCUGUCAGGUGGCCCGAGAACUUAAGAUGAGAACCUCUCAACUCUACGAAAUCUGUGAAGUCCCCGAACUCAAGGACACCCUGGUCUGAUAGUUCCUCCUCUCCCCCUCACUCUCCUACACCUUCCUCCCAAAGUCGUCUCAAAAAGAUUGUUCUUUUGUUUGUUUUGUUUUCCAUAAGUUUUCACUGGACUAGGAGAAUAAAUGAUUUGCUCACUAGUGUA